CUGCCGCCAUCUUGGAUCCAGCCGUCGUUCGCUGCGUCAGGCUCAGCCAUUUUUCAGGAGGAGCUCUGGUCUGAAGUGCCUGUUUGAGGCCACUGCAUGGAACACCCUUUGAGCAAGUGAAACUGGGUUAAUCACAAAGGACAAGAAGGAAAUGAACUCCAAGAAAGAAGCUUUCUCUUGCCUUGUUGGAGCCUUUGGGAAGCAUAAGUAGACUGAUGCAGAGAGGAUAACAUGGUCCAGGUAGUCACAGAACCUGCAGGGUUGAUGGUGGGACCCCCCAACAGGCAGAACAGGAGGGCCACAAGCUCAUCAAUUACCCUGUAACUUGAGGCAUCUCAAAGAAGACACCUGUCCCACUAUUCAGAGUUGGAUUUCUGACAUGAAAUCUGUUACCUUUGCCUCUUCCUGGUGGCUCAGUCGGUAAAGAGGAGGAACCUGGCAGGCUACAGUCCAUGGGAUCAUAAAGAGUAGGACAUGACUGAGAGACUAACGCUUUCACAUUCACCUUUGCCUCCUCCUAUUCAGGGUUCUCUUUUGCCUCUAAACUGUCAUCUAUAGUCACACGAAGACAAGUAUACUUACAAUUUGGUAUCUUUGUUCCACAGCCUUUCCCUUAUACCACCCCCAGUGAGGUUUACAUACAGAAAUUCACAGAUCUUAAGUCUAUAGUUCAAUGAAUUUUGAUCUGUGUAUAUACCUAAGUAACCAUCACUUUAAUCACAGUAUAAAACAUUCCAUCACCCCACAGAGUUGUAUCAUGCCCCUUUCAAUCAAUUUCUACUAUUCAUAGGCAAUACCUGUUCUGAUGGCCCGUUCUGAAUUUUAUCUCUGACGUCUUUGGUGCCACAUACAGUUUUGGGGAUUUAGCUAUCUUGUUGUAUUUAUCAGUGGUUCAUUCUUUUUCAUUGCUGAGUAGCACUCCAGUGUAUAAAUAUAAUACAAUAGACAGCUAUUUCACAAUACCUGACACUUAAAUUUGCCAGUAACAUUUUGAUAAUUUGUUUUAUCACGUACUUAUUUCCCAUAAUCCAUCAAUU